AAACUCCACGUUCAAUCUAUAAAAAAGUUCCCCACGUCUAGGGAGAACUCCACGUCCAAUUUAUGGCCCGCAAGAUCCAACCUUUUUUUUCUUACAAACUCCAUGUUAAAUCUAUGGAAAACUUCUCCACGUUCAAUCAAGGGAGAACUACAUGUUCAAUUUACGGCCCGCACGUCCAAUCUAUUUUAUUCUCACAUAACAAACUCCACGUUCAAUCUAUUGAGAACUUCUGAUAUUUUGGAGGUCCAACAGCCCAAGCGUGUUUGGAUGGAAAUCCUGGGACCGUGCCUAUCCAUGGCGGCGACAAAGACGGCGGCCAGAUCUGGACUGCUCCCUGCUACGAGGAAGGAAGUGCCGCCGCUCCGUCUCCGGGUGGUGGCUGCUUUCAGUCCAGAGGAAGAAGGAAGGGUCGCUGCGGUUGCUCCCGGCGUCUUAGUUGAAAAGGCAAAUAACCUACCCCCUCUCCAAAUUUUCUUCUUCGAGUAAUCACUUCUCCAAUUUUUUAGGAUGCAAUUGCUUCAUGUACACAGCCUAUUUUGUGCUUGAUUAGUGAGAGUGCCUGGUAGCUUCAUGUACCGUGACCUAUUUUGCUUCUCCGUCGCGUGAUUGUCGCCACUUCUUUCUCUAAAUGCGAGGUCGUUUAUUCUUUAGAGGAAAUAGUCAAACAGAUGCGGUGUUGGGGCGGUGCUGAUCAAUGAGGAGCUACAUGGUGUGAGACACGCAGCACACACAUGUCCUGCAAGUGGCCGGACCUAUGCGUAUCGGUCGACAAUGGUGAGAUCAAACUGGUGUUAUGGAACUCUGUCCAGCAAACAACGUAUUUUCUCUUCGCAUGGCCUUUCCUCUGCCAGUCUGAAUCUGAAUUAUGUCUUUCUAUUUUACAAUGUGUUGGAAGUGUUUGAUGAAUUGUUAAGUUGCCAAUAGUUGAAUUCAUAUAGAAGAGUCUUACUAACGAAUUUGUUAAGUCUUUCAUGUACUGUGUUUCAAAACUGCAUUUGUAUUCACUAAGGACAUUCAUGUUUUCAACCAGCACUAGCGCUUUAGUUGUAUGACGUACGGUUUGUAACUAAACUGCAUACUGAUUGCACCUGGACAGUCGAAGUAUAACACAAUUUCAAGUUUCAAAUUGUGUCUUUCUUCUAAGAUUGUCACCACUUCUUUCUCUAAAUGCGAGGUCGUUUAUUCUUUAGAGGAAAUAGUCAAACAGAUGCGGUGUUGGGGCGGUGCCGAUCAAUGAGGAGCUACAUUGUGAGACAAGCAGCACACACAUGUCCUGCAAGUGGCCGGACCUAGGCGUAUCGGUCGACAAUGGUGAGAUCGAACUGGUGUUAUGGAACUCUGUCCAGCAAACAACGUCUUUUCUCUUCGCAUGGCCUUUCCUCCGCGAGUCUGAAUCUGAAUUAUUUCUUUCUAUUUUACAAUGCGUUGGAAGUGUUUGAUGAAUUGUUAAGUUGCCAAUAGUUGAAUUCAUAUAGAAGACUUUUCCUAACGAAUUUGUUAAGUCUUUCAUGUACUGUGUUUCAAAACUGCAUUUGUAUUCACUAAGGGCAUUCAUAUUUUCAACCAGCACUGGUGCUUUAGUUGUAUGAGGUACGGUUUGCAACUAAACUGCAUACUAAUUGCACCUGGACAGUCGAAGUAUAACACAAUUUUAAGUUUCAAAUUGUGUCUUUCUUCUAACUCUACCCUCUCAUCUACAAAUGAGUUAUUUCACCAUAAGUUUUUAUGUUGUUCGCAUUCCACCAGGAAGAUGAAGUAGAACUCUACUUAUCUUAAUAAUUUAGUGCAGUAUGAUAUAUGCAACAGUUGUCCUAAUCAUUAAAAUUUUCCAAAGAGUAUCCUUCGGUUUGUUUGCUUCCUAUUUCCAAAAGGUCUCUACUGUUUGUUUUUUAGCUGAGAUUUUUUUAUUUAGGUACUUCACUAGAGAGGAGCGAUCUGCAAGAGUUGGCUGCUAUGUAUAUAUAUGUUACGGGCCAGCGCACAGAUUUUUUGCCGUCGAGAUCAACUUCCUACACACAAGUGAAUUACUUCUGGAGUUCAAUUGUUACUACAUUGAAGAGAAAUACGAUAGCAUCUAAUAAUCCACUAAGGUUGCUAGGCAAAACCAUGACAGCUACAAGAUGAAUUUUAAGCUCUAUAAAAAGAAUAUAUCAGAAGUGCAUGGAUCCUAUUCUUUACCUUUUUUAUUUGGCAUGUGGAGUUACCGACUUCAUAUUCUAUGUGGAUAUAAGGAUGGAUUUACUUGGGUCAGGCACACUUUGUUGUGGGGUUACGGCUACAAGGGGAUGCUUCAUCAGAGAUCAGGGUUGUUGGUACAAAAUAUGAGGUGACUAUUGGAAAUUUAUUCAGAUCAUUGUAACAGAAACUCAUCAAUUCCCUGCUAUUGAUUAUUUUCCGAAUUGGAGUGCACUAUGAACUUCAAGUUAUUUGUGGUGUGAAUCCUCAGUGCGGUCAAGGGUGGAACUGCUGAUCUUUUUAAGAAAAAGGGCAAAUUUGAAUACUCCCACAUCACCUUUUGGGCAACACGUGAGGGAUCAAAUUCUGCUGCCACAGAUCCAGUACUGUUCUUCGCUGAAUGCAGCAAUGAUGAUGAAGAUGACAAGGAAACACCUCCCCUGUGCGUCCCAGUAUUUAGUUCUUGGAUAUCUGAUGUUCGUUGCUUCCACUGUGAGUUUCUAGGGAAAAAAAUUGUUCACCCAUAUCAUGAAUCAUAUUAUGGGCGUUACGAGGACUUUGUUGGAAUGGCUCAUGGAGACCAUAGCAUUUGUAAUGAAGAAAUUAUCAGUGCAUGCGACUUCCAUGCUGAUAUGAUAUGCACAUUAAAAGAGGAUUGGAUCUUUUUUGAUCCCAACAUGGAUGCUAUGAUUGCUCGAGCGAAUCCCAUUAAGAAUUGGGCUACGGAGAUGCUGAAAUGGAAGAACAGAAUCUUUUGACAGUCAUGCUCGAUCUUUUUUUUUCUGAGAUAGAUCAGAUGGACUCUUGAAAUUGAGAUUCUUGAAGAGCUUUCCUGGGAGCACGCGUUCAAGCUUAGUUAACAUUUGCUAGAACUGUUUAUUAUAUUCUUCUGUUGAAGUGUAUCUCAACUUCUUAAGUGUGGUGUUAGUUUGUCAACCAUGAUGCAAAUUAUCCUUGAUGCUACUCGAGUAUGUGGAUAUCUAAUGUCAGGUUUCCAUGUGGGCACUUCAUCACAAAGCUAUACAGAACAACAACAAUUUACAUGUUGGGCGUUCAGUUCUA